ACGAACGCUGGCGGCGUGCUUAACACAUGCAAGUCGCACGGAAAGGCCCUGCUUUUGUGGGGUGCUCGAGUGGCGAACGGGUGAGUAACACGUGAGUAACCUGCCCUUGACUUUGGGAUAACUUCAGGAAACUGGGGCUAAUACCGGAUAGGAGCUCCUGCUGCAUGGUGGGGGUUGGAAAGUUUCGGCGGUUGGGGAUGGACUCGCGGCUUAUCAGCUUGUUGGUGGGGUAGUGGCUUACCAAGGCUUUGACGGGUAGCCGGCCUGAGAGGGUGACCGGCCACAUUGGGACUGAGAGACGGCCCAGACUCCUACGGGAGGCAGCAGUGGGGAAUAUUGCACAAUGGGCGGAAGCCUGAUGCAGCAACGCCGCGUGCGGGAUGACGGCCUUCGGGUUGUAAACCGCUUUCGCCUGUGACGAAGCGUGAGUGACGGUAAUGGGUAAAGAAACACCGGCUAACUACGU
rnacentral:rRNA from 1 species